rnacentral:rRNA from 1 species
UACGAAGGGGGCUAGCGUUGCUCGGAAUCACUGGGCGUAAAGCGCACGUAGGCGGAUUGCUAAGUCAGGGGUGAAAUCCUGGAGCUCAACUCCAGAACUGCCCUUGAUACUGGCGGUCUCGAGUCCGGAAGAGGAGAGUGGAAUUCCCGGUGUAGCGGUGAAAUGCGCAGAUAUCGGGAAGAACACCCGUGGCGAAGGCGGCUCUCUGGGACGGUACUGACGCUGAGACGCGAAAGCGUGGGGAGCGAACAGG